GGUUGAUCCUGCCAGUAGUCAUAUGCUUGUCUUAAAGAUUAAGCCAUGCAAGUGUAAGUACGGCCCUUCCAUUGUGGGGGCGAGACUGCGGACGGCUCAUUAAAUCAGUUAUGAUUCCCAGGAGCCAGCGAAAUCUACUUGGAUAACUGUGGCAAUUCUAGAGCUAAUACACGAUACUGAAGCUUCGUCGCCGCCUUCCUCGUGGAGGUGGCGGGAGCGCACUUGUUAGCCUCAAACCAAUCGGGUGUCCGCCGUCCGCGACGGUCGUUGUUUCAGCGUCCGCAGGGCGGUGGCGCGCCGGUACCUUUGGUGAAUUCUGGACAACUUUGCCGAUCGCAUGGCCUUUGCGCCGGCGACAUAUCUUUCAAGUGUCUGACCUAUCACACUAGAUGGUUUGCGCUCUGCGCACCAUGGUGACAACGGGUGACGGGGAAUCAGGGUUCGAUUCCGGAGAGGGAGCAUGAGAAACGGCUGCCACAUCCAAGGAAGGCAGCAGGCACGCAACUUACCCAAUGCCGAGACGGCGAGGUAGUGACGAAAAAUAACAAUACGGGACCCUCUUUACGAGUUCCCGCAAUUGAAAUGAGUACAUUCUAAACCCUUUAACGAGGAUCAAUUGGAGGGCAAGUCUGGUGCCAGCAGCCGCGGUAAUUCCAGCUCCAAUAGCGUAUGUCAAAGUUGUUGCGGUUGAAAAGCUCGUAGUUGGAUCUCGAUGCAGGGCUGGCGGUGCGCCCGUAGUGGCGUUGUCUACUGCCAGUGCCUGCGAUAAAUAGAGGCCGGCGGACUUGUUCCCUUGGUGCUCUUGACUGAGCGGCUUGGGUGGCCGGAACGUUUACUGUGAAAAAAUUAGAGUGCUCAAGGCAGGCCUACGUGCCCGAAUACUGGUGCAUGGAAUAAUAGAGGAUGACCUCGGCGCCACGUUUGUUGGUUUACGGUGCUCGAGGUAAUGAUUGAGAGGGACGGCCGGGGGCCUACGUACUGCGGCGCGAGAGGUGAAAUUCUGUGACCGUCGCAGGACGAACGAAAGCGAAAGCAUUUGCCAAGAAUGUUUUCCUUAAUCAAGAACGAAAGUCAGAGGUUCGAAGACGAUCAGAUACCGUCGUAGUUCUGACCGUAAACCAUGCCAACUGACCCUCCGCCGUUGGUUGCUUUAUUGACUGGGCGAGGAGCCUUCGGGAAACCAAAGUCUUUGGGUUCCGGGGGGAGUACGGUUGCAAAGCUGAAACUUAAAGGAAUUGACGGAAGGGCACCACAAGGGGUGGAGCCUGUGGCUUAAUUUGACUCAACACGGGAAACCUCACCCGGUCCGGACACUGGAAGGAUUGACAGACUAACGCUCUUUCUUGAUUCAGUGGGUGGUGGUGCAUGGCCGUUCUUAGUUGGUGGAACGAUUUGUCUGGUUAAUUCCGAUAACGAACGAGACUCUCGCCUGCUAAAUAGUUCGGGGACGCCUUACUACUAGCGCGUCGCCCGCUAGAACUUCUUAGAGGUACAAGUGGCGUUUAGCCACACGAAACGGAGCAAUAACAGGUCUGUGAUGCCCUUAGAUGUCCGGGGCCGCACAUGUGCUACAUUGGAUGCACCAGCGUGUAUCAUACUCGCCCGAAAGGGUAGGGGAAUCCGCUGAACCGCAUUCUCGGUUGGGAUUGGGGAUUGAAAUUAUUUCCCAUGAACGCGGAAUCCCUAGUAGGCGCCAGUCAUCAGCUGGCGUCGAUUCAGUCCCUGCCCUUUGUACACACCGCCCGUCGCUACUACCGAUCGCUCUUGUUAAUGAGCCUGUCGGAUGGGACCCGGUGAGCGGGCCUUCGGGCCUGCGAGCUCUGGUGUUUGCCUAGAAGACCGGCGAAUUAUCCGGGGUAGAGGAAGUAAAAGUCGUAACAAGGUAUCCGUAGGUGAACCUGCGGAUGGAUCAUUACCAAAUAAAUAGCUUUUGUUGCUAUCUAAUUAAACGCUGGGUUUGGAAAAAGAGAGUUCCGCAGAACUGGCUCUCUUUCAAGACAUAAAGGCAAAGCGCUGGGUCAUCCGGCGGAAAAGAAGCUCGGGUGAUUUGCCUUUAAAGGGAAAGUGUCAAGAAGAAGCACGGAAAGACAGGUGACUUUGUUACUAUAUAUUAUUAUUACUAUAAUACGCUGGGUUUGAAAAGAGAGCACCGCAGAACUGGCUCUCGAUAAAAAUAAUAGGCAAAAGUGCUGUGGGUUUGCCUUUUGGCUUUUGGCAGGAACGUAACAAAAAAAAAAAUCCGUGCUUUUCAUGGAUGAAAAUACGUCAAGGAAGCGCGAAAAAAAGUGCUGGCUUCACCUCCGAGUGGACCCCCGCGGGUUUUACAUGUAUUAAAGGAGCUCCGACCUGCCGGGGGACUUCUCUGGGUGAUGGCCGGCACCGUGCCGCGCGAGAAAUUCCUUCGUAUUCCUCAUCAAACACCUCGGCUUUUCUGGAGUGCUGUUGGCCAGAAAAAAACGCCGUCGAAAAAACAGCAUCUACGUAGGUCCUUUCUUUAAAAAAAAAACUCGGUUUUUCUGGAGUUGCUGUGGGCAGGAAAAUUAAAAACAGCAAACUCUACAAACUCCUCUGUGCGGUGGAUCACUCGGCUCGUGUGUCGAUGAAGAGCGCAGCGAGCUGCGAGAAGUAAUGUGAAUUGCAGAACCACAAUGAAACAUCAACAUCUUGAACGCACAUGGCGGCCUCUGGGUCACUCCAGAGGCCACGCCUGUCUGAGGGUCGGCUUCGUCGAAAGUCCCGCUCAGUGGGAAAUUCCGCUAGCGAGCAUUGGCGGUGCAGUGCAUGCUGUCCGUUUUUUUUUUUCGUACAGAAGCGCUUCGCCCGCCCCCCGAUCAACUGUUACGACAGAAGGGGAAGAAUUGCACACGCAAAAACACCUUUCUGCCGGAGGACCAAAACGCUGAGGUAACGCGAAGCUUUUGUCCCGGGCGGAAGGAGCCCCCUCCGUUUGAACAAAAAAACAAAUCGGAACCCGACCUCAGAUCAGGCGGGACUACCCGCUGAACUUAAGCAUAUCUUUACGGAGGA
rnacentral:rRNA from 1 species